GGUAAAAUGACUGAGUAAGCGUUAGACUGUAAAUCAAAAGAUGGAGGUCAAGGCCUCCUUUUACCA
rnacentral:tRNA from 3 species